rnacentral:rRNA from 1 species
GUGGGGAAAUUAAAAAAUAGAUAAAUUAAUAAAAAAAUUUUUAAAUUAAAUUAUUUUAAUGGGGGUUAAAGUAUUUUUAAAGAAAAAAUUAAUUAAUUUAUAGUGAAUUAGUAUUGUGAAAGAAUUUUGAAAUAAAAUGAAAAAAAAAUUAGUUAAAAGUAAAUUUAAUUUAUUGUAUCUUGUGUAUCAGAGUUUAUUAAAUAAGAAUUAAAAAUUUAAAGUUCUCGAAUUUAAAAGAGAUAAUUAAUUAUGAAAGUUAUUGUUGCAUAAAUAUUUUAAAUAGUUAAUUGGAAAUGAAAUGUUAAUCGUUUUUAAAUAUAUCUAGUUUUUUUAGAAAAAAAUUUAAUUUUAUAUUAUUAAAAUAAAAAAUUAAUUAAUUAAUUUUUUAUUUUAAUAAUAUUAUAUUUUAAGGGAUAAGCUUUAAUUUAAAUUUAUAUAAAUUUAUAUUAAUUUUAAUUAAAAUUUUUAUGAUUUAUAUUGUUAAUAAAUUUUAAUUUAUUAUAAAUAAUUUUAUUUAAAAUAAAAUUUAAUUUAAAUUUUAUAUAUUUAUAAAAAAAAAAUUUUAAAUUUUAUAAAAUUUGUUAUAAUGAUAAAAUUAGUAUAUAUAUAUACAUGUAUUUAAAAUUUUAAUAAUUAAAUAUUUAUUUUAGUUAAUAAAAAGGAAUUCGGCAAAUAGUUAUAUUCACUUGUUUAUCAAAAACAUGUCUUUUUGAAUUUAAUAUAAAGUCUAAUCUGCCCACUGAUAUAAUUUAUAUUAAAGGGCUGCAGUAUAUUGACUGUACAAAGGUAGCAUAAUCAUUAGUCAUUUAAUUGAUGACUUGUAUGAAAGAUUGGAUGAAAUAUAAACUGUCUCUUUAUUAUUUAUAGAAUUUAAUUUUUUAAUUAAAAAGUUAAAAUAAUUUAAAAAGACGAGAAGACCCUAUAGAGUUUUAUAUUUAAAUUAAUUAAGAUUAUUUAUAAAAUUUUUAAUUGAAAUUAUUUUUAAUUAUUUUGUUGGGGUGACAAAAAAAUAAAAAUAACUUUUUUUAAAUUUUAACAUAUAUAAUUGAUUUUAUGAUCCAUUUUUAAUGAUUAUAAGAAAAAAUUACCUUAGGGAUAACAGCGUAAUUUUUUUUUUUAGUUCGAAUAAAAAAAAGAGUUUGCGACCUCGAUGUUGGAUUAAGAUAAAAUUUAAAUGUAGAAGUUUAAAAUUUUUGAUCUGUUCGAUCAUUAAAAUCUUACAUGAUCUGAGUUCAAACCGGUGUAAGCCAGGUUGGUUUCUAUCUUUUAAUAAUUAUAAAAUAUUUUAGUACGAAAGGAUCAAAUAUUUAAAUUAAAUUUAUUUAAUGAAUAUUAUUAAUUUAUUUUAAAUUUAUAUAUUUAUAAUAUAUAUAUAUAUAUAUAUAUAUAUAUAUAUAUAUUU